GUGCAGCAGGCGAGAAUACUUUACAAUGUGCGAAAGCACGAUAAGGGAACUCUGAGUGCCUCCUAAGGAGGCUGUUCAGGUGUCUAAAAGCACCUGAAGGAAGGGCUGGGUAAGACCGGUGCCAGCCGCCGCGGUAACACCGGCAGCCCAAGUGGUAGCCACGUUUAUUGGGUCUAAAGCGUCCGUAGCCGGCUGGGUAAGUUCCUUGGGAAAUUUGGCUGCUUAACAGUCAAGCUUUCAGGGAAUACUGCCCGGCUUGGGGACCGGGAGAGGUCAGAGGUACUCCAGGGGUAGGGGUGAAAUCCAUUAAUCCUUGGGGGACCACCGGUAGCGAAGGCGUCUGACCAGACCGGGUCCGACGGUGAGGGACGAAGGCUAGGGGCGCGAACC
rnacentral:rRNA from 1 species